rnacentral:rRNA from 1 species
GAUGAACGCUGGCGGCGUGCCUAAUACAUGCAAGUCGAGCGAACAGAUGAGGAGCUUGCUCCUCUGACGUUAGCGGCGGACGGGUGAGUAACACGUGGAUAACCUACCUAUAAGACUGGGAUAACUUCGGGAAACCGGAGCUAAUACCGGAUAAUAUAUUGAACCGCAUGGUUCAAUAGUGAAAGACGGUUUUGCUGUCACUUAUAGAUGGAUCCGCGCCGCAUUAGCUAGUUGGUAAGGUAACGGCUUACCAAGGCGACGAUGCGUAGCCGACCUGAGAGGGUGAUCGGCCAAACUGGAACUGGGAAACGGUCCAGACUCCUAAGGGAGGCAGCAGUAGGGAAUCUUCCGCAAUGGGCGAAAGCUUGACGGAGCAACGCCGCGUGAGUGAUGAAGGUCUUCGGAUCGUAAAACUCUGUUAUUAGGGAAGAACAAAUGUGUAAGUAACUAUGCACGUCUUGACGGUACCUAAUCAGAAAGCCACGGCUAACUACGUG